rnacentral:rRNA from 1 species
AGCGAACGCUGGCGGCAGGCUUAACGCAUGCGAGUCGAGCGGGCAUCCUUGUGGUGUCGGCGGCAGACGGGUGAGUAACGCGUGGGAACGUGCCCUUCGGUUCGGAAUAACUCAGGGAAACUUGAGCUAAUACCGGAUACGUGCGAGAGCAGAAAGGUUUAUCUGCCGAAGGAUCGGCCCGCGUCUGAUUAGCUAGUUGGUGAGGUUACGGCUCACCAAGGCGACGAUCAGUAGCUGGUCUGAGAGGAUGAUCAGCCACACUGGGACUGAGACACGGCCCAGACUCCUACGGGAGGCAGCAGUGGGGAAUAUUGGACAAUGGGGGCAACCCUGAUCCAGCCAUGCCGCGUGAGUGAUGACGGCCUUAGGGUUGUAAAGCUCUUUUCUCCGGGACGAUAAUGACGGUACCGGAGGAAUAAGCCCCGGCUAACUUCGUG